rnacentral:lncRNA from 1 species
GAGCUUAUAAGGUCUGUCAUACACUCUGAUGCCAAAUUACAAAUAUCAUCUGGUUUAUGAAAAUUAAGCUCACCAGUUUUAGGAAUAUACAAGUAUUGUUGUAUAUAUGAAUUUAUUUUUGGGUUCGCACAAAAGUAAGCUCAAAGGUUUUGUUACUGUUUAACAUGUUUCUCCCAAGAAACAUAGAAUCGAAGCUCUUUGCGUUUGCAUCAUCACGAUUUCCUCCCCUC